rnacentral:rRNA from 1 species
UCAGGUGGCCGCAGAGAAUAGGCCCAAGCGACUGUUUACCAAAAACAUAGGUUUCUGCUAAGUCGCAAGACGAUGUAUAGGAGCUGACGCCUGCCCGGUGCUGGAAGGUUAAGGGGAUCUGUUAGAGUAAUCGAAGCAGUGAACUUAAGCCCCAGUAAACGGCGGCCGUAACUAUAACGGUCCUAAGGUAGCGAAAUUCCUUGUCGGGUAAGUUCCGACCCGCACGAAAGGCGUAACGAUUUGGGCACUGUCUCAACAACAGACUCGGUGAAAUUGUAAUUCCGGUGAAGAUGCCGGAUACCUGCGACAGGACGGAAAGACCCCAUGGAGCUUUACUGUAGCUUGACAUUGGGUCUUGGUACUACAUGUACAGGAUAGGUGGGAGGCUUUGAAACCAGGACGCCAGUUUUGGCGGAGCCAUCCUUGGGAUACCACCCUUGUAGUACUGGGACUCUAACCAUAGGCCAUGAAUCUGGUCUUGG